rnacentral:piRNA from 1 species
UCGAGUCAAUUCAAAACAGAC